CCUGAGAAACCCAAAAGAUCGAAUGGGGAGAUUCAUCGUCAGCUCAUUUUGUAUAUAUAUAAGUUAUGAUGCGAGUUACUACUUGUAGUAUUGCUUGCACAUUCUUAUAUAUUUAGUUGCAAGAUGUUGUCGGCGUGCACUUCUCUCCUAGUAGGACGUCGCGACCCGUUGGGUGUCGGUCUACGGCCCAAAUGGUAGUCUUUAAUAUUUUUAAAUUAUAUUAAAGUCCAUUGGUGUUUUCUGACCGGCUACUCGGCGGUACACGUACGGUAUUAAGCCGCAAAAUAAUAUAAUAUGCGUCCAUUCCCGUCGCAAGCGAGGCCUACUGAUAGUACGGACCUAGUGCCGUCGUUGGUAUUGGCCAGCUGUUGGUUGUUACGGUGUUCUAGGACUGGCUUUAAUAUAAAUACCGGUCAGCGAUGCUACUGCUUUGGGUACUUUCAGGACCCGUCUUGAAACACGGACCAAGGAGUCUAACAUGUGCGCAAGUCAUUGGGAUAUUUUUUUUAAAUUAAACCUAAAGGCGUAAUGAAAGUAAAGGUCGUCCUUGCGUCGACUGAGGGAGGAUGAGUUAUGUUAUGAUAUAGCUCCGCACUCCCGGGGCGUCUCAUUCUUAUUAUAAGAAGAGGCGCACUUAG
rnacentral:rRNA from 1 species